rnacentral:rRNA from 1 species
GUAGUUAGCCGUGGCUUAUUCGACAGGUACAGUCUUCUGCUCUUCCCUGUCAAAAGAAGUUUACAACCCGAAAGCCUUCUUCCCUCACGCGGCGUUGCUGGGUCAGGCUUGCGCCCAUUGCCCAAUAUUCCCCACUGCUGCCUCCCGUAGGAGUCUGGACCGUGUCUCAGUUCCAGUGUGGCCGAUCAGCCUCUCAGCUCGGCUACCCAUCGUUGGCUAGGUGGGCCGUUACCCCGCCUACUACCUAAUGGGACGCGAACCCCUCCUUUAGCGGAUUUCUCCUUUGACCUCUGUGUCAUGCGGCACUGUGGUCUUAUGCGGUAUUAGCACCUGUUUCCAAGUGUUAUCCCCCUCUAAAGGGCAGGUUGUUCACGCGUUACUCACCCGUUCGCCACUAAGUACAAAACCGAAAUUCUGUACUCCGUUCGACUUGCAUGUGUUAGGCACGCCGCCAGCGUUCGUCCUGAGCCAGAUCAAACUCUGA